UCUUCACCUACAAUUUGUGGAUGUAGUAUAUGUACAGACAUGAAUUGGAAUGUCAUUUCAUCAACAAUUUAACAUCGCAAAAUAAACGUGAUAUAUUUAUUCACAAUUUGUGCACGUAGCACGGACCACGUCCACGUGCCUCGUGUCUCGUGCUACGAUUUAAUCGACAAUGUUAAAGAUAGACGUGGAUAGUUUUUUUUUUUUUAAACGGGACGUGGGGCGCUAUAGUGUCCGGGGGAGAUCGCUGGUCCCACCCAAAAAGCCGGCUGGCCGCUCUCACACUUCUCUCUGACGCAAUACAGUCGAAUUCGAGGUCGAAGAAGGUUGUGUAUUGGAAGCUGUCGCCACCGUCGUUGAGGACGCUGUCGACGUUGACGACUUGAGGAUCGGGGUAGUAAUCAUCUUCCCCGCAAGACUCGAUGGUGCUAAAAUGUGAGCGGUCACCUGACUACCUUGAGACACGAC